UACGAGAAGGUGAGUAACCGUUUUUUUCUUCUUCAAGUGCUUGUUCAUGUCCAUUCCAAUCAGGUGACUCACAAGUCAAAGUUCAGGAGGUGGGGUUGGAGCCAUCAACUGAUUGGAGCACAGCUCUUCUGAAGGCCGUGUCGUCUCUGGCCUGUUGAGUGAUCGCAUAGUGGUGGUGAAAGUGUGUAUGGAGGACCAUGUUGCUGCCCUGCAGAUUUCCUGUGUGGGGACCUGUGCCAGGAAUGCUGCUGAGAAGGCCUGAGCUCUGGUGGAGUGUGCAGUGAUUGGUGGAGCGGGCACCUUCGCCAAGCUGUAACACUCCCUAAUGCAUGACACGAUCCACGACAAGAUACAAUGCGAUGAGACAGGGAGGCCUUUCAUUCUAUUGGCCAUCGCCACGAAUAACUGGAUGGACUUUUGGAACAGCUUCGUUCUCUCAAUAUAGAAGGCUAGCACCCUGCAGACAUCCAAUGAGUGAAGCCUCUGCUACCUGCUGCUGGAAUGUAGCUUAGGACAGAAUACUGGAAGGAAGAUGUCCUGGUUGAUGUGAAACAACCUUAGGGAAAAAAGCUGCAUGAGGUCUGAGCUGAACCUUAUCCUUAUGGAAUACAAUGUAAGGGAGCUCUGAUGUAAGGGCCCUGAGCUCCAACACUCUCCUAGCUUAGGUUAUCGCCACCAGAAACACCACCUUGUAUGAGAGAUAAAGCAGGGAGCAUGUCGCCAGUGGCUCAAAUGGUGGACCCAUAAGUCUGGAAAGGACUAGAUUAAGGUUCCAAGCUGGGAUAGGCCGUUGUACUUACGGGUAUAGUCUGUUGAGACUUAAGGAAACAGCUGACCAUCAGGUUCGCAAAGACUGAGUAGCCGUCUGUGCCCAGAUGGAAGGCGGAGAUGGCGGCCAAGUGAACCCUUAUCAAUGACAUGGACAGUGCCUGUUGCUUAAGAUGGAGGAGGUAGUCCAGUAUAAAUGGCACUGAGGCGAGCAUCAGAGACUGAUGGUGCUGCUACGAGCGGAUGGAGAAUCUCUUUCACUUGGCAAGUCUACCUCAUCUGCUCACGAUGGUCUGUUGAUUUGCAGUGUGGAGCUGUAGUCCCCCAGUGGAAUAAACCUUCAAGCCAAAAAGGUCAAGUCUCUUUGCCUCCCUGUUCUUAGGGGAGGGUCCCUGGUAGCCCUGGCACUCUCGCUGAUUGGUGACAUCAACGACCAGGGAGUCGGGGGUUCAGUAGGUGUAUAAAUGUUUAUAUCUCUUAGAAUGGGCAAGGUACUGCCUCUCUUUCCUGUUGGCUGUAGAGGCCAGAGAGGCAGGGGCCUGCCAUAGAGUUUUUGUUGUCUCUGUAAUCAUCCUUAUUAAGGGCCAGGCGAUACGAGAGGGACAGGAGGGUGCGGCGUGUCGAUGACAGGGUUGGAUUUCUCCAUGACUUCCUCCAACUGUAUACCCAGGUUCUGGGCAGCGCGACGUAAGAGCUGCUGGAGUACCCUGUUAUCCUCCAGAGCUGGGGCCGUUGACGUCCCUAGCCACAGCUUCAUCUGGGGAGGAUGAGAAGGAGAGGCCUGGAACCGGGCCCUGCUCACUCCCUUCAGCGCCCCAUGGGUCUUGCGGCAUGUGGUAUUCCGAAGCUUGUGAUGCCUAGGCUCCUGGGGUUGGAAAUACUUGUGCCAAGGCAGGCGGUGCCGAAGUUGUUGGCUCCAGCAGUGCCGAUAUCCUCAACGCCGGUGGUACCGAUGCUGUAGCUGCAAGUGGUGCCACUGAUGGGAGGGUCAGUGCUGGAGCUGUAGUGGACAACCACGGUGUUGGUGGCGCUUCUGUUGGCGGUGCCUGCGGGGGGGAUGAAGGAUACCAAAGACACUAACACCGACCUGGACCUUCGGCCGUGGUCCUGUCCCUGGCUCUGGUGAUCAAUGCAGUGGCCCUUUUGGAGACCCUGAGUGUAAGGCUGCCACUGUGGAGGCCACAGUGCCGAGUAGGGCUGGUGGUCAUGGUGGAAUCUGGACCUCCUGCUCCUGGUCCUAUCGGAGCGAUAGAAAUCCAACUCCAAAGUCUCCAGAGAGCAGUGCCGAGAGGUUGGGUACCGGUGCGGCUCCCCUGCGCGGGUGGGCCAUGCCAGGGAGAGGUAUGCUGGGGAUGGGGAUCAGUGGGCCAUCACUGCUGGUUUGCCCCUUGACUGAAACUGGGGCCGCGCAGUCACCGGCAACUUGUCUCUCCUCUGCGGGGAGGACGGCGCUGUGAGGCGUAUAAGGUCCUUGGCUGCCUCGAAUGCCUCCAGUGUCAAGGGGAGCUGGAGGUCAUAACCUUGGCGGUCUGGGGACUGUUGAGGGUUUGGACUCAACUGAACCCCAGAUGUGGCAGGAGUCAACGAGACCCUGGAGGGCUGGAGAGACAAGGUGGCCUGGCUCAAGAUGCUCUUCGAUGCUGCAGGUCCCUUUGUCUUUAAGGGGGGAGAGCGACCCCUAUCCAGCCUUUUCUUCUUUUGACACACCAGGGACUGAGAACAGUGCCACAACGAAGAGGGCUUUUUAUGGGAGGAACUGUGGGGGCUCUGUGAGACUUUAGGGUCCUUGCUCAGCACUGGCUCACACACCAUUGGCGUCGGAGCACUGCGGACUGUCGAGGAAGGGCUCGGGAUGGGUUCUGCGGACCUGGGGUCGGAAUGCGGCCGGAGUGCCGCUUCCAUUAGCGGGCUCUUAAGUCUUUGAUCCCAGUCUUUAAGGGUUCUAGAGCAAAAACCCUUUCAGAUCCUGCACUUGUCCUUUUGGCGGCUCUCCCCAAGGUACCGUAGACAAGAAGAGUGUAGGUCACUCUUGAGCAUAAAUUUGCCAUAGUCCUUGCAGAGUUUGAACCCUGGGGACCAGGGCAUACCCCAGAACCGGGGAAAAUGUUGUUGGGGGUAGGGGGGAACCCCCAAGAAUCACAAUAACUACAACAACAAACUAUUUAACAAUGAAGACUGAAGAGGACGCUACCAAAAGCGCUUGCAAAGCAAGAACGACAGUUGUUCUUACUGCUGGUGACAGCUAGGUGGAAGGAACUGGGGGGGGGGGGGUCAGCAGGGUCCUAUAUUGGGUGCCAUGAAGGCGCGACUCCAGGGGGCGCCCAGGCCAACCCUACGGACACUGCUAAGGGAAAAAUCUUUCGGCUGACAUGCAUGCGGCACACACACACUUGAUUGGAAUGGACAUUAACAAGCACUCAAAGAAGAAUAUAUAUUCCAAUGUUUUGUUCAGUACACUCUUAAACAUUCCAAGUGAUGGAGCUUCCACCACUUUCCAUAGGAAAUUAUUUCACAGUCUGGUAGAUCUCACUAUUAUAAAAUGUUCCCUUGCUUUACAACUAAAGUUUCCUUUGCUCAUCUUCAGGUCAUUGCUACUAGAUAUAUUCCUUAGGAUCACCACGCAUUAUUUCUCUCCCUCAAUAUUUAAAAUCUUCAAAUUAUUAUUGACAGGUGUGCCUGAGUUGCUUUUUUUUGCCAAGUUAUACGUAGUUAAUUCUUUCAAGUUUUCCUCAAUGCACUAUUUAGCCCACUCUCUGUUCUUGAUUCUAGCCUCAGUCUCUGCUCACGUGUUUUGGCUCCAUUUAUAAUAGAAUGGAACUGUGUUUAUGUAGAUUAAGAUCCAGUAGAAAGCAAGUAGCAAAACUCUUGUUAAUACAGGAUUGAACUUGAGGUCUUUAAAUUUCUGCCUCAUGGGCCUCAUUUAUUUUCAGAUAUACCACAUACUACUGUGCUAACUAGAUAGGGACUCUGCCCUCAUAAUGCCAUCAUAGACAGCACUCCUACAUAGGUGGAGCCUGUUUGGAGAGGCUGGAACUACAGCAAUUGAACUAUCCAGAGCCAUGAGCUCUAUACCAGUUGUUUCUCAACUGGUGGGUCAUGAUGACCUCCAGAGGGGUCAGAUAAAGCAAUCAUGGGGGGGAGCAAGACACUAAAAAUAUUACAAUUCUAAAGCAAAGACAAUAAAAAUUGCAGAGUAACUUCAGAGUGGCCAAAGCCUUCAGAGUUUGUGAGGUCAGAUGCAGUAGUUUUGAUAGCAGUUGUAUGCAGCAGCGUAUUAUCGCCUAGGCUGACAAGGCCUAGGCCUAGGCC